rnacentral:rRNA from 1 species
GAUCAUGGCUCAGAUUGAACGCUGGCGGCAGGCCUAACACAUGCAAGUCGAGCGGAUGAAGAGAGCUUGCUCUCUGAUUCAGCGGNGGACGGGUGAGUAAUGCCUAGGAAUCUGCCUGAUAGUGGGGGACAACGUUUCGAAAGGAACGCUAAUACCGCAUACGUCCUACGGGGGAAAGCAGGGGACCUUCGGGCCUUGCGCUAUCAGAUGAGCCUAGGUCGGAUUAGCUAGUUGG